rnacentral:lncRNA from 10 species
AUGUGUAAGUAUGCGUAUGCAUGUGUACGAGUCCCUAGGGUGUGGGGGAGAGACGGCAUCAUCACCUCAUCUGGUCCAACCACACUUGGCCUCAGCUCUCCUGAGUCUCCCUGGGGCCCAGGCAUCCAGGACCCAGGUCCACUCACCUUGUACUUCUUCUGGUAAACCAGUUGGUUGCUCUGAAUGGUGAACCAGCGUCUGUAAGAGAAGGAAAUCAUUACAGACAUAGGCAGCUUUAGGAUGAGGGACGGAAGAGAGGCUGUGCUUUUUGCCCAUGAGGAUCUUACUGAGAGGACAGACACCUGGGCUGACUGUUCCACGAGACAUUCCAGAGAAGGGUGGACAAUUGUGCAGAUUGGAACAUCUAAAGGAUGCUAUUCCUAUCUUGGACAACCCAGAUUUCAUAUAGUUAUGAAGACAACUUUCCAGCAGAUGGCAGUAAAAUUCUUUUUCUAAUAAAAUGUCUAUUGCUACAAUUUAAAAAAUACUAUUUAGGCUGGGCUCACACCUGUAAUCCCAGCACUUUGGGAGGCUGAUGGGGGUGGUGGAUCACCCGAGGUCAGGAGUUUGAGACCACCCUGACCAAUAUGGUGAAACUCCGUCUCUACUAAAAAUACAAAAAUUAGCCAGGCGUGGUGGCAGGCGGCUAUAAUCCCACCUACUUGGGAGGCUGAGGCAGGAGAAUCGCUUGAACCCAGGAAGCUGAGGUUGCAGUGAGCUGAGAUCGCACCACUGUGCUGCAGCCUGCGCAACAUAGCGAGGCUCCAUCAAAAAAGAAAAAAAAAGAAAAAGAAAAAAAGAAAAGAAAGAAUCUUGGGGGCCAGGUAUGCAACCAGCCUGGGCAACAUGGUGAAACCCUGUUUCUACCAAAAAUACAAAAAUUAGCCGAGCGUGAUGGCACACGCCUGUGGUCCCAGCUAUUUAGGAUGCUGAGGAGGGAGGAUCACUUGAACUCAGGGGAUAGAGGUUGCA